rnacentral:rRNA from 1 species
AAUUGGACGGGGAGCACCACACGGGUGGAGUCUUGCGGUUUAAUUGGAUUCAACGCCGGAAAUCUUACCGGGACCGACAGCAAUAUGAAGGCCAGGCUGAAGACUUUGCCGGAUUAGCUGAGAGGUGGUGCAUGGCCGUCGUCAGUUCGUACUGUGAAGCAUCCUGUUAAGUCAGGCAACGAGCGAGACCCACGCCCACAGUUGCCAGCGUACUCUCUGGAGUGACGGGUACACUGUGGGGACCGCCGCUGCUAAAGCGGAGGAAGGAAUGGGCAACGGUAGGUCAGUAUGCCCCGAAUAUCCCGGGCUACACGCGAGCUACAAUGGUUGGUACAAUGGGUAUCUACCCCGAAAGGGGACGGGAAUCUCCUAAAACCAAUCUUAGUUCGGAUUGAGGGCUGCAACUCGCCCUCAUGAAGCUGGAAUCCGUAGUAAUCGCGUUUCAACAGAACGCGGUGAAUACGUCCCUGCUCCUU